rnacentral:rRNA from 1 species
AGUGAACGCUGGCGGUAGGCCUAACACAUGCAAGUCGAACGGCAGCACAGGAAGAGCUUGCUCUUACGGGUGGCGAGUGGCGGACGGGUGAGGAAUACAUCGGAAUCUACUUUUUCGUGGGGGAUAACGUAGGGAAACUUACGCUAAUACCGCAUACGACCUACGGGUGAAAGCAGGGGAUCUUCGGACCUUGCGCGAUUGAAUUAGCCGAUGUCGGAUUAGCUAGUUGGCGGGGUAAAGGCCCACCAAGGCAACGAUCCGUAGCAGGUCUGAGAGGAUGAUCAGCCACACUGGAACUGAGACACGGUCCAGACUCCUACGGGAGGCAGCAGUGGGGAAUAUUGGACAAUGGGCGCAAGCCUGAUCCAGCCAUACCGCGUGGGUGAAGAAGGCCUUCGGGUUGUAAAGCCCUUUUGUUGGGAAAGAAAAGCAGCAGGUUAAUCCCCCGCUGUUCUGACGGUACCCAAAGAGUAAGCCCCGGCUAACUUCGUG